AAAAAUCAAAUGCUAACGAUAAUUUUAAGUCAUAAAAAUAAAAUCAAUAAAAAAAGUGUGUUAAAAUGGACCAUUUAGAAUAAAUAAUUAAAAUAAGAUAUUAAUAUUUAAAAAAUACAAAAAUAAAAAUUAUAUAAAAUUAAAUAAAAUGUUAAGAAAAGUGAAAAAUAUUUUUGGGUAAUUUUAUGGACGAAGAAAAUAUUUUAAAUAAGAAAAAGAAAUAUAAAAAUGGAAGGAUUAAUGGUGAUGAACAUGGUAA
rnacentral:lncRNA from 1 species